GUUCAAAAAUACCUUCUCACUGUUUUCCAGACAUAUGGACAGACGUUUAUAUCAGACGACACGUUUCUGUCCACCAUUGGUUCUGUAGCUGGAGCUGCUCAUGCCCUUAGCCGAGUGAUUGUGAGCUUAAUUCAGGACAAAUUAUCUUACAAGACAACUUGUUUUUUUCUCUGGCCUUUAGUCCUCCAUCGUAUUAUUUCUUCCUUAGGAUGGUUUGCUACGUUUUGUGUAACAGCGACUGUUUCAUUCAUAGGGAUACUUGUGACUAUUCUCUUCCCUGAAACCGAUUUUACACAAUCAUCACUUUCUUUGUGAAUCCUAG